rfam:Paramesorhizobium deserti strain A-3-E Scaffold3, whole genome shotgun sequence.
UCUCAACGAUGCGUCUCCUCCUCCCAUUGCGCAUCCUUGAGUGUUCCCCUCUGGAGGUUUCGCCGGAAACGGCACCUUCACAACUCAAAGCCGGACGCAUGUCCGGCUUUUUUUU